AAUUUUAGAGCUCAUAAUAUAUAGUCUUUCUUACUGUAUUAUUGAUUGUUCCUAGCGUAAGUGGUAAAAGACUUGGUGGUUGGUAUCCGAGUCCCAAGUUUGAAUCCUAGUUGAUUCACAUUUUCAGCUAAAUUUAUUUCUAAAAAAGAUAAAAGAACCGGUAGCAAUGUAGCAUACUACCUUUCUCAACUUAAAAAAAAAAAAGAAAUGGGUCUUUUCUUAACUUAAAUUUUGUAACGCCCCACUUUUCAUAGGGUCAUCCAUUUUAUAAUAAUUCUAACUCUAGCACGUUUAAUUUUCUUAAACUCUUAAGCCGAACUAUCGUUCAAAAUACUAUAGUCGGGUUAAAAAAUUUUAGCCCUAUUAUAUCUUAUAUAUAGCCGAACUAUCGUUCAAAAUACUAUAGUCGGGUUAAAAAAUUUUAGCCCUAUUAUAUCUUAUAUAUAGGACUAUUCCAAACCUUAUAUAGGGUGUCACAUUUCUCUCCCACGCUCAUAAGCACCAAACAAUGUGAGAUUCGUCUCGCUAGUUAGUCUUAGCAAAUCUUGUGGAAAGCCGCACUCUACCGCUCCCAAGUUUAGUCGAGACUAAUCUUACACUUCCGACUUGUGAUUAGCUCUGAUACCAACUGCAAUACCCUCCUUCCUAGAGAGUCACACACAUUCUAUAACUACUCUAACUCUCUCAUGCUUAAUUCUUUGCUUAAUUCUUUUUAGCUCUUGGG
rnacentral:lncRNA from 1 species